CAUGUACUUCCUCCGUCUGAAAAUACUUGUCCGAGGAAUGAAUGUAUCUAGAUGUAUUUUAGUUCUACAUACAUCCAUUUGUAUCCAUUUCUACGACAAGUAUUUCCGGACGGAGGGAGUAGUAC
rnacentral:pre_miRNA from 1 species